rnacentral:lncRNA from 1 species
GUAAUAAUUUCUUCUACUCCAGUUUCUGAAUAAUAGAAUUUCAAAAUCCUCUCUUCAUCUCAGGAUUUCCUAUUUCUCUUUAAUUCAUCGAAUUUCUCAUAAUUCCUUGAAUUACCAUAUCAGGUAUAUUAAUUUCAAAGACUGGGGAAGGGAAAAAAGGGUGCGUAGGUGGAGUUGCGGUGCCAUUGCCACCAUUGCAGCGGUCAUCGCCAGAAAUAAGAGCAGAAAGACACGAUAGGAGGAGAUGUAGGAGACGGAAAGAGAAGGAGAGAAGAAGGAAAGAAAGAAAACAAAGGGAUUUGAUGAACAAAUGAAACUGAUGUUGCAUGAGAGUAUGUUUCAUUCAUGGAUGGGGUGUGUAUUCAAACUCUGAAAGAUGGAGUGUGUAUUCAAACUCUGAAAUUGUCUCAUGUGCCGGAGAUGAAGGGGGAGGCACUGCCACUAUCGGCGGUGAUGUUUGAUGAAGCAGGAAUCGGGAAAGAGAGUGGGAAAGGGAUAGAAUGGGAAAAGGGAAAAUGAGAAAAAAAUAAACAAUUUAAAAAUCAAUAUAUCCAAUGGUGUAAAAUAACUUUUGCAUUAUGGAAGGCCUAAUAGAUAAGCACUGAGAACAUUUCCAAUGACAAUCUUGCCUAACAUUUUUAGGUCCCAC